AGGGUUAGGGUUAGGGUUAGGGUUAGGGUUAGGGUUAGGUAUAAGGAUAAAAACGACUUUGACCCUCAAGAGUUUGACUCUCAUUUGCAUAUCUGGCUUGUGAUUGGCUGUGCUUCAACUUGGACUAUCUUAGGAACUACAGGUGCGAUUAGCACGGGCCUGGUGUUGGAUUCACAAUUUUCACAGCAAACACACACACACACACACACACACACACACACACACACACACACACACACACACACACACACACACACACACACACACACACACACACAACAGGAGGGAGGAUCAUGCCCUGGUUCUCUAUACAGGCUACACAGUAUAUUUAUGUAGCACAAUUCUCACCUGGGUACUGGAUGAUAGGGUUAGCCCUGGCUCUAGUUUCUCUAUGCAGGCAGGCUGGCAGGCUGGCAGGCAGGCAGGGAGGAGGCCCAGGCAGGGAGGAGGCCCAGGCAGGGAGGAGGCCCAGGCAGGGAGGCAGGCCAGAUCAAUGGUUCAGCAGGGAGGAGGCCCAGGCAGGCAGGGAGGCAGGCAGGCAGCCCAGGGAGGAGGCCCAGGCAGACAGGGAGGCAGGCAGCCCAGGGAGGAGGCCCAGGGAGGUAGGCCAGGGAGGGAGGUAGGCAGGCCUGUGUAGGCCAUACUCUGCUCACUGGGAGUCAGCUCCAGCUGACCUCCAUAGACAGGCAACAGGAUGGAUUCAUAGGCAGGCAUCAAAGUGCAUUCUACCCACAGUAGAGAGCACUAUUUAGGCUACAUUGGUCAUGAUUUAAGGCCUUUACCUGUGGUCCCCAAUUCAGGCUACACUUGUGUAUGCUUCUCCCUACUCAUGGGGAACUUGAACUCAGGGGUCAGCUCCUGCUGACCUCCAUAGACAGGCAACAUUUAUAGGCAGGCAUCAAAGUGCAUUCUACCCACAGGAGAGAACCUGAUCUAAGCUACACUGGUCAUGAUUUUAGGCCUUACCUGUGGUCCUAUAUUCAGGCUACACUUGUGUGUAUGCUUCUCCCUACUCAUGGGGAACUUAAACUCAGGGGUCAGCUCCAGCUGACCUCCAUAGACAGGGAACAGGCCUCAUUCUACCCACAUGAGAGAGCACUAUUUAGGCCACAUUGGUCAUGAUUUAAGGCCUUUACCUCUGGUCCCCAAUUCAGGCUACACUUGUGUAUGCUUCUCCCUACUCAUGGGGAACUUAAACUCAGGGGUCAGCUCCAGCUGACCUCCAUAGACAGGGAACAGGCCUCAUUCUACCCACAUGAGAGAGCACUAUUUAGGCCACAUUGGUCAUGAUUUAAGGCCUUUACCUCUGGUCCCCAAUUCAGGCUACACUUGUGUAUGCUUCUCCCUAUUCAUGGGGAACAUAAACUCAGGGGUCAGCUCCUGCUGACCUCCAUAGACAGGCAACAUUCAUAGGCAGGCAGGCAUCAAAGUGCAUUCUACCCACAGGAGAGAACCUGAUCUAGGCUAGUUUGGUCAUGAUUUGAGGCCUUUACCUCUGGUCCUCAAUUCAGGCUACACUUGUGUAUGCUUCUCCCUACUCAUG
ensembl:lncRNA